UACGUAGGGGGCAAGCGUUGUCCGGAAUCAUUGGGCGUAAAGAGCGUGUAGGCGGUCCGGUAAGUCGGCUGUGAAAGUCCAGGGCUCAACCCUGGGAUGCCGGUCGAUACUGUCGGACUAGAGUACGGAAGAGGCGAGUGGAAUUCCUGGUGUAGCGGUGAAAUGCGCAGAUAUCAGGAGGAACACCGAUUGCGAAGGCAGCUCGCUGGGACGUUACUGACGCUGAGACGCGAAAGCGUGGGGAGCAAACAGG
rnacentral:rRNA from 1 species